ACCGGGACAGUUCCUCAAACCACUCUUGCACAGGGGUUGUUGGCUGAGAUCAGCUCAGAGCGACAUGGUGUCAAGCAUAUGUUGAUUGAUCACUUUAAAAAGGACCAUGGAAUGAAAGUUGGAUCUACCAUGAGAUUUGCUAUUGAAGACUUGGUUUUUAAGCUCUUUGGAGAAGGACCUUCUGUGAGUAAGACUCCUACGCAUACACCUUCACCUAGUCCUUCUAUCACAGCUCCUACACACAAUAAGGUGAAAGAACAUAUACAGAGAGACAUGGAUGGCAUGGGCCUUGGAAACUGCAUGCAAAA
rnacentral:lncRNA from 1 species